GGGCCCGUGGCUCAGCCUGACUAGAGCGCUCGACUGAUAAUCGAGAGAUCCGCGGUUUAAAUCCGCGCGGGCCCA
rnacentral:tRNA from 1 species